CUUCUCAAGCAUGCUUAAUAAUCCUACUUACUCAUGUCACAAAACAGGCUAGUUAACAACUAGAACAUAUCUAGAAGAAUAAUACUAAACAAAAACCAAAAUUAUAUAGCUUUAUAUCAAAGUUUUCCAUAGUCAAUGAAAGAAAUAUUCUGGAAUAUUUAAAUACACUUGGUUUUGGAGGACAAGGCAAUAAAAAGAUUGAAUAAAAUUAGAUAUUUUACAUAGAUACACAAGAUGUUUAUAUUUUGACACAUUAUAUAUUUUCUUGUAAGUUCCAUGAGAAAAAGGACUUUGUUUCUGUUCUCUGCUAUAUCCCCUGUGCCUAGAAGUUCACAUAGUAGAUGCUCAAUAAAUAAUUCUUGAAUGAUGAAUGAAUUUCAGCAUGUAUUUCAAUAAGCUUUGAAACACCUACAUUCAUGACUAAAAGUUAACCAUAAAUUUAGAUCUGGAAUAUUUGAAUGUCCCCCCUUUUAAUUUAGGCAGAAUAAUAAAAUGCUAUGGCAAAGCAUAUGCAUCAUUCUCUGCUGCUUAGAGUUGCUUUUCCCCUUACCCAUAUUAUCUGCCUCUCCUAGCAGAAAGCAAAAUUUCAAACAUCUAUAACAAUUAUUUCUUUGAGAAGACUGUAGAGCAUUGUUUCAAAGAGGGUUUUCUUAAGCCUGUAGGCAAACCUAAAAAGGUAAAUGACUCAAUCAAGCUGGCACUUCAACAGUGUCUACCACUGCUUCAAGGCCAGCCUGUUCAAAUACUUCCCUGAAAUCACAUGCUAAAGUCAUUGUAUUUAAACUUUUUUUCUAUAAACUCAUAUGAAACAAUUACUCCUAUUGUAUUAGGCUCUACAGUCAGUGCGGAGGUAAAAUUAAAAGCUCCUCUAAUACUUCUAAAGUAGUAGAGUGUCUUUUAGUUUAAAUGACUGAUAUAUGCUGAUAUGCCAAGACUAGAGUAAUUUUGUUCAGAUUUGUUUAAUUUUUAAUAGAAGCAUUAAGUUAAUUAUUUAACUUCUUAAGGGCUUGUUAUAUAAAAAUAUGCCUUAUUUAAAUAUUCUCUUUAACAAGAAGGCUUAUUUCAUAAUAAUUUUAAAUAAAUCAGCAAUGGACUCAAAUUUCAGGUAAGUUACAUUCUAGAUUAGAUGUUUAAUAGACCUUUGAUUUAAACGAUUUACAUGAAAGAGUUUUUCUGGUUAAGGCUGAACUUAUGAGUUCGUUCUGUAGAUUUUUCUUAAAAUUAACUUCUUGCAUCCCAUCCCUUACCUCUACAUUUUCCUUCCUCUCCCGUCCUCCAACAACAAUUCUAUUUUUUCCUGAAAUGUGUAACUAUAUUCUAGCUUUAAAGAGCAGACCUUAUUGUUUGCCAUUACAAUUCCUAAAGCAUGGGGCUCCAAGGUGCCUUUGAUCCCUGAUAAAAUAGCAAGUCCAAGGACACUAGAAUUUUUGCUUCAAGAAAAGCAGACUUCAGUGUGGAAUGCUCUCAGGUUAAAGGAGAAAUGUUUAGCUUAACGUAUAGGUAAUGUGUUGCUUUUACAGAUCAGACUGCAGCAACCCACAAAAUGUAGCCUCAUACAAGUUAACCAGAACUUUUGUCACUUGGGUAUUUGGUAAUCUUUUUUUUCUUUUUAAACUAAGUGAAACAGUUCAAAUAUAACUGAUAUUAUAGAUUAUCUUACAUUUCUUUGGAUGACUUAGUCAAUUCACCUUUUUUCCUUUUACAGUUGACCUCAGAAACAAACACGGGAUAGGAUCAAUUCUAAGACAUAGAAAUAUUCAAAAUCCAUUUCUCUUUAGUUGACUUCCAAGGCAGAAAGAGUAAACAGCCUUCUCCCAGCUUUCUUACUUUCCACAGCUGAGAGUGUAGGAUGUUUACAGUAUCUGUCGCUCAGUGCUCUCUAGGAUGGGGUUGGCAGUCAGCAGCACAAGCCUCAGGAAACCCAGUACCAUUUGAAGAUACCAUAAUAUGUCACAGGAAAAGAUCAGAAAAGUAUACUUGGGACUAAAUUAUGGCUCUUUUAGGAGUAGGGUUGGAAGGGUGGGUGGGGAGGCUAUAUGACACUUACUUAGUGCUGCCUGCUCAGUUCUUGUUUUCUUCCUGUUUUGCACAUCCUAAGAUAUUCCUAAGGUCUCUAGCUUUGAGCUUGCACACUCACGGAUUUGGUUAAUUUUGGAUUUUCAAUAUUCUAUGCUUUCCCAAAAGGGUUUCAAAAUAUUCGCCAAACUCCUUCCUUAAACAGUACAUAAUCCCUUUCUGACUGUUGGGAGACAUGAAAUGCAGCUUCUCACUCUCUGGGCUAUACAACUUUGUUUCAGCUCACUCCUGCACAGAACUGAGAAUAAUGGCUAAACAGAAGACCAACAGUUUAAUUACUGAAAAUUAGUUACCUUAAUGAUGGGAUACACAGUAAUAAAUUUAAUCAAAUGAGCAAAAAGUAAAUAUGUUAGAAUACAACUUUACAUGCAUAAAAAUGGUAUAUUGCAAAUUGCUAAUAUAAUGCUAAAAUUAUUUUAAAAAUUCAUAUUCGGACAGAAGUGAACCUACAAUUAGAGGCAUACACAUGAAUGGAGUCAGUUGCUUCCUAAAGUUAUUUUCUAAGAAUGACUUAUUCAAAUAGUUCUUGGACUUCAUUUGCUAAACUGGUCUAAGGUACACAAAAUACUUGGGCGAAGAAGAAAGUCAUCAUUACUAUACAUCUCAGAACAAACCUACCUGAUAAGAGACUACACUGUAAACCCAGGUGGCAUAUAAUUCCAAACUGUUACAGGAUCUUACUCAUUUCAUUCAUUCAUUCAUUCAUUCAACAAACAAUUGUGACUGCCUGCCAUAUAUCAGCAAUGUUUUAAAUUCUAGGUGAUGAGAAAUGAAGGGUAUCAUCCCUACCUUCGAGAAGGACACAGCUUAAUUUGCAAGACAGACACAUACACCAUUACUAUAAGUGUUAUGAUGGGUCAAAAGACACUUCUGAGUUGGCUAAUAGCCAGGCUGAGUCUUGAAGCCUGAAUAAAAUUAGCUAGGUGAAGAUGGUGCUAAUGGGAAUUUGGAAGGGGUGGGCAGUGAAGAAGAUAGUGUAGCUUAAAGUGUACCAGAAAGAACAGUCAUCCAAUAGAGAAAGAAAGACAAAGGUAAUGUAUGCUGAGGCCUUUAAGAAUUCAGCAGAGGUGGAGUCAAAGAUGCAUGUGGGUGAAGGGUAAGGAAAACAGGAAAAGAAUCACUGCAGUAGUGUAAGGGAGAGCAUGGGAGCCUUAAUUAGGGAAGAGGCAGUAAGAACACAGAGAAAAUGAAUAUGAGAAAUUAUAAAGACAAGAAGAACAGCAGAAUUCAGUGAGUGAGUAGCUGAGGGGAGAGGCACUGUGGAGAUGGAGAAGUCAUGGGUAAUUCACAAGCCUGGCUUGGGCUUCAUAAGGCCUUUCAUGCAGGAGGGAAAGAAUAGGAAGAGAAGUGGAGAAGGAAAGAGCCCUAAGAAUGAUAACUUGAAUGGGCUGGGCUGCAAAGUUAUGACCCCAUGCUCAUUGAAUACUGAAUUCUGUCACAACUGAAAGGGUGAAAACACUUGAAGAACUAAAUCACACAAACCUGUUCUUUAUUCUGUUUCUGCACUUCUGCUUACUCUUCUACCUGGCAAGUGCCCAUACAGUCUUCAAAUCCCAAAUCAAGUAUUCUCUCUUGUGAAUCCUCUCUGGUCAGCGUCAUCCCUAACACCCACACCCCUCCCCCAACCUGAGGAGGAAUUGUUCAUUUUUCCUUUUACCACCAUUAUACUGUGCCUAGGUCACAUAAUUGCAUAUGCCUAGAUCACAGAACUGAUACUUUAUUACAAUUAUUUGUUUACCUAUCCAUCUCUCUACUAGGGAAGAAACACCAUGUUUCGUUUAACUUAACUUCAUUUCAUCAGAAGAAAUUCACAACAUGUAUCCAGGGUUUGUCUGGUACUAAAGGAGGUUCUCAGUGAAGGUUUGAUGAAUGAAUGAAUGAAUGAAUGAAUGAUGCCAUCUACCACCUGACAAUGGGUUAACAAUGUUAAGAUGAUUAUUCAGGUUUUAAAAAUCUCUAAAUAAAAAAUAUUUACCAGUUUCUAAAACUUUGUUUUUAUUCCCCCAAAAUUCAAGGUUAGGCUGUUUUACUUUUCUAAGGAACUCAUAGCUAAGAAGAGAAAGCAAUCUCUCCUUAAAUGAUGGCAUUAACUCCUGGAAAGUUAACCUUUUAUGAAGGCAGCCUUAUUUUAAAAUUUUAUUUUCAUGAUGGAUUUCAAGUGAAGAAAAACCAGGAUACACAGUAAAUGCAGAGAAGAAAUCUAUGUAAACAGUUUAAAAAUAGACAAGAAUGAAAGAAAAUGGUCAUAAAAUGUGGGUAUCAAUACUGAAUAAUUAUGUAAGAGCUUAAAAUGUUCUACAUGGAAAGAACCACACCUUAUUAAAUAGUCACUAAAAUAAUUUUAGCUACAUGAAAUGAUUUUAACUUCUUAAAGUCAAGUCUGAAAAGUUCCUUUUGUAACGUGAAAGCCACUCUCUUUUGCUUCAGUAGGGCUUCUGAUGUAAUAGGCAUUUUAGUCACAUAAAACUAAUCUCCAAUAAACUAGCCUUUGGUCAUUUUUAGUUCUGAAUGAAAAUACAUUUAUUUCAAAUGUAGAUUAUAUUUGAUCAAAUCUGUCACAUUCUGUAUCAAAAAACCUUAUCCAUUGAUUUAAAAAUAUUCUGCAGUAUUACACAUCAACUUUCAGGAUACACAGUGGCUUUUCCCAACUCCCAAUGUUCAUUUUUUAAAUUAAAAUGUAGCAACUUUACAGUAUGUAAAGUUUUUAAUUUAAAAACUUACAUUUUUAAAAUUAAAAUGUAGCAGCUUUACAGCCAUGAAUGAUUCACUGGAGAAAAAACACUGUUCCCAGAUUUAAAGCUUAAUGUAUCUUGUAUACAAGGAUGUUCUACAGCUCAUGCCCUGCCCAGUAAUGGGCUUUACUCCUUUUUUUUUUUUGUUCGAGAUGGAAUCUCGCUCUGUCGCCCAGGCUGGAGUGCAGUGGGGCAAUCUCGGCUCACUGCAAGCUCCGCCUCCCGGGUUCACGCCAUUCUCCUGCCUCAGCCUCCCGAGUAGCUGGGACUACAGACGCCUGCCAACACGCCCGACUAAUUUUUUGUAUUUUUAGUAGAGACAGGGUUUCACCGUGUUAGCCAGGAUGGUCUUGAUCUCCUGACCUUGUGAUCCACCCUCCUCGGCCUCCCAAAGUGCUGGGAUUACAGGUGUGAGCCACUGCACCCUGCCAAGGCUUUACUAAUUCUUAAAGUCAGGCUCCAGGUCUCCUACAUUGGUGGAUUUUAGAGAUGGAAGGAAAAUUCCCUGGUGAGGAUGCUUCUUUGCAUCAUAUUCUUUGGGCAUAUCUCCACAAGCGACUUUGCCACCUGCUCCCUUCCCUUGCCUAGUCUAACAUUUGCCAUUUCAUCUUCCAUUCAGCUUUCACCUUGCCUAGUAUAUGGGAUGGAUAUUUAAUGGAAAAUUAUCAUUCCCUAGUUGAAAGCAAGAUCCAAAUCUCCCAUAUGUGACAAACACAUCCUUAAGGAAUACAUGGAAAUUUCCAAGGAAAAACUAUGAGAAAAUCAUAAUGAAAAUGUAACAGUACACACCCUAUUUUAAGCCUCCUUCACUUACAGUAACUUAUAAAGGUUCUUAUACUAGUUUGCUUUUAUUUACCCUGGAUCCUAAAGGAAAAUUACAGCAUAGAAUAACUCACUACAGUUAAAAUAUAUGGAAAAUCAACAGUAAUGUGACUUUACAGUAGAUAAAAGAACACAAUAUGUUCAUAAAAUUUAUGGAGAUUUAGCCAACUCAAAGAUUCCAUGGUUUUAUGAAAAUACCCUUUGCUCUGAGAAAGUCCACUUCCUCUUUAAUUAACCUUCUCAUGUUCAUCCCAAGGGAAAAGCUCUCUCCACUCUGACCUCAAAGUGUGGUACUUUGAAUCUGUGCUUGAUGAGAUUCUGUCUCAAAUUAUUACUGUAGCUUAAAUUAACCUGUUUAAAUUUAAAAUGUAGUAAAUUCUAUAGUGGAGGGAAUAGCUGGAAUUCCAUGUCCUCUUUCUAUUGAAUGGUGUGGGCAGAAUCAAAGUUAGGAGACCAGUCAGUCUGAUAUAACCUAUUCAAUCAUGGUUUCCUUAAAAAUUCUUUGGGCUCUUGAUUCCUGUAUUUUUUUUUUUCUUUUUCACACUUACUGUUUCAUUACAUUGGUGUGGUCAGAAGAAAAAAAGACAACCUUG
rnacentral:lncRNA from 10 species